rnacentral:rRNA from 1 species
GCGCGAAAACUUUACAAUGCGGGAAACCGUGAUAGGGGAACUCCGAGUGCCCGUAAAAUCGGGCUGUCCAUCUGUUUAAAUAACAGGUGAAGAAAGGGCCGGGCAAGACCGGUGCCAGCCGCCGCGGUAAUACCGGCGGCUCGAGUGGUGGCCACUAUUACUGGGCUUAAAGCGUUCGUAGCUGGCUUGUUAAGUCUCUGGGGAAAUCUUCCGGCUUAACCGGAAGGCGUCUCAGGGAUACUGGCAGGCUAGGGACCGGGAGAGGUGAGGGCUACUCCAGGUGUAGGA